UCCUACGGGACGCAGCAGUGGGGGAUAUUGCACAAUGGGCGCAAGCCUGAUGCAGCGACGCCGCGUGUGGGAAGACGGUCCUCGGAUUGUAAACCACUGGCUUUGGGGACGAUAAUGACGGUACCCAAGGAGGAAGCUCCGGCUAACUACGUGCCAGCAGCCGCGGUAAUACGUAGGGAGCGAGCGUUGUCCGGAAUUACUGGGUGUAAAGGGAGCGUAGGCGGGAUAUCAAGUUGAAUGUGAAAUCUACCGGCUCAACUGGUAGGCUGCGCUCAAAACUGAUAUUCUUGAGUGAAGUAGAGGUU
rnacentral:rRNA from 1 species